rnacentral:lncRNA from 1 species
GGCGACAUUGAAAUGGUUGACGUAAUCUUGGAUGGAUUCCUCCUCCCUUUGCUUGAUGUUGAUGAGGGACUCUAAGCCUCUCCGAGGAUGCCAGCUGCUAACAAAAUGAGCCGCAAACAGGUGGCUCAUUUGGUAAAAGGAGAAGAUGGUACCUGGCUUCAACGUCGAGUACCAGUUCCUUGCUGCUCCCUUCAGAGUGGAUGGGAA